CUAUGAUGAGUUCAAGGACCGCCGCCGUCUGGCUCGCAUCAUUAGAAUCUUGGAGAAGUCAGCAGAGGGCAGUUUGACUUCACAGGUUGAACCACGGAGGAAAAACGGACGCAGACAGAAAUGGCUCCUGAUGACCGGUGGGCUGUUUCUGCUCCUGGCUGUAACUCUCCUCGUCGGAAAGGACGAUGCUGAUGUACAAGACUAUGAUGCUGAUGUCUUUCUUCCAUCCAAAUUUCUGUGGUCAUUGGGAUGUCUGUUGUUCUGGACUGUCUGGUUGCUCCUGCGCCUCCUCCAGAUGUUCCUCUGGUUGAUCAGCGUCCUGCUGUGGUGUAUCUCCAUUACUGCUUCCCUGCUCUGUCACUGUUUGUCCUUUCUUCUGUCCUGCUUUCUUCUGCUGCUGCAAUAAACCUGUGAUGAUAUGCUUUUUGCCACCACCAGCCCUGUUUACAUUUAUGUUAUGUUUCUCUGUGUCGGUGUUUCACUGCUCAUUCUCAACAGGACCUCACGGGUCAAAUAGAUCAUUUAUAAAUAAGUAUGAAUUAUAUUAGUUAAAGAAGAUUAUAUGCAUUUUAGAAGAAGAAAUAACACAUUCUUCCUCUUACAAAUGAAAAGCUGAAUUCAUAAGGAAAUAGAAUGGCACUCAGCAGAAUGCAUAACUUCACUGAGGCUCAACAGCCCUAUUUAAUUGAAUCAAGCCUAAUCUAAUCUUUUAUUCUGAACACAUCAGAUUGUUCGCAGCCACCUCACUAUGUCUGAAUUUUUUUUUCA